rnacentral:snRNA from 8 species
AUACAUACCUGGCAAAGGAGACACCGUGAUCAAGAAGGCGGCUCACCCAGGGCGAGGCUCAGCCAUUGCACUCCGGCUGUGCUGACCCCUGCGAAUUUCCCAAAUGUGGAAAUCUCGAUUGCAUAAUUUCUGGUAGUGGGGACUGCGUUCGCCCUCCCCCUGA